ACAUGCGCAAAGAACAUACCCAGUUGCAAUUAACAUCACCUCACUGGACAUAACAAUGGACAUUGACUUUCACUGGGUGUAACCAGUCACCAACGUACAUCACCAACUUGGAACUGUAUUUAAAUUGCUAGUCCUGCCACAUUGAAGAGUUUUGCUUCAAAGACAUCGGUGAGACUGACCACCUUGCUGUCCAUCCCUGGACUGACUCCACCAUUCCCUGACAUCCAGCUAUCAGCUGGUGAGGACCACCAGACAAGGACAAUAAGAGAAGUCACAUGGCAUCAGAGAUGUUCUGUGAUGUCCUUACAAAUCACCUAUUACUUGUAUUUUGCUGAUUUUGUGUAAAACUGGGGAGAAGGUAAGAGAAGAACAAACUAGGCUGGAGAUCACAUGGAAACUCUGAAACUCAAGACCAGAUGAAUCUGAAAUGGAAGGGAGGCAGAAAGAAUCAAGAGGGAAAGCAUGGACAAUGCACACUGAGACCCCAAAGACUGCGAAUCUUCUUUCCUUUUGCAUUUGCGUCUAUUUUCACAGACGAGGGUGAGGGCCUUAAUGCAUUUGCUGCUGCAAUUUUAGGUUUUAGAAUGUUUUGAACAAUAUGCUUCCAAUCACGCCAAUAAUUAGGGGACCCUCAUUAUCGAGUGUUAUGCCUCUUACGAUGUUACUGGCAGAGAGGGGACAUUGGCUUCACCUUGUGAGGCUUGGUUUUGUGUGACUGGCACAGAAACAGGCAUUGUUCACCUCAAUUUCUCCCCUCUUUUUCCAGGAUCCUAUUAAACCUCUUUGUUAGGAGACCCAGCUGCUUGUUUUCUCUCAAGAUAAUGACUGAAAAAUGCGCUUUUAAAAAAUCACGGGGAACAUUAUUUCUGGAAGGUCUGUCUCUUCAUCUUUUUUGCUGUCAUCUGGCUGAUGAUGAUUUUCAAUAAUCCCAUGCUAAUAAAAAUUUAUUUGAACACA